AAAAUCCGUCGACUUUAGAAAUCGUGAGGGUUCGAGUCCCUCUAUCCCCC
rnacentral:tRNA from 1 species